ensembl:lincRNA
UGCAGGACAAGAGGACCUUACUUCCUCCGUGGAAUGACUUUUGGGUCACUCACCUCUCUAGGCCAGCCAGCUCCUCCAAAACGAUCCUCGACAGGCCUCACUGAGUCACUCGCUGUCACAGUGGGGGCUCUGGGCCCCAGCAGUCACAAUAAUGGCGCAAAUACAAACUCGUGGGUCCACUCUGACCUCCAGAAUCAGGAACUCUAAGGUGGGGCCAGAGUGCGUCCUUUCUGGGAUUCUGAGGCUUGUGGGGUCUGAGGAAGCCAGGCUGCAGUACCUCCAUGUUCCAGGAGAGUUAUGGCCCCAGAAAGUAGAGCAUCACCCCCGCUAAGGCCCCAGAUCCAGCCCUGGUGCCCUCAGCCCUGAGUGGAUCCCGGUGGGGGGCAGUUCCAGGUCCCUCUUUGCCUGGGGGUGAGUGGGCUGUUGGACAUGUGCCACGGCCGGCCCUGUCCAGAUGUCAGGCUCAAGGCCUGCCCCUAGCAGAGAGGGAGCCAGGUUCCUGGCAGGGCGCCCCCUGCAGGCAGGACCCACAGUGGGCCGGUUCUGGUGCCGCAGCCCUGAGCCCUCCCCGUCAGAUGGGGAUGGAGGAGCAGAACGCCCAGGAGUGACAGCCAGGGACAGGGGCAGGGGAGCCGCACAAAGGCAGCUGCAGAGAACACCAAGAGUUCCCGCGACUCUGUCCUUCUGUGUCAGCAGCUCUGACUGGAUUACGCGCACCUCCUAGAACUGAGAGUUACCACUGAGUGCAUGGAGAAGCGACUCAUUAAGCCAGUUGGAUGAGUGGAUGUGGGGGCAAGAACUUUCGCCACGCAGAUGAUACCCUGAGACUUCAUUUGUCCGCACACAGAUGGGGAUAACCCUGCAUCUUCCUUGUGAGGAAAAGGUCAGCUGAUGGUGGAGGAGUUAGCCAAGUUUCGGACGUGGAUAAAACCCACCCUAAAAGGAGAUGCUGUAGCUGUCUGGGGCGCUGUGCAUCAAAAGCAGGGUUCCCACGAUGUGUACCACGAGACAGAGAACAAAGCCGCCAUGGUCACGCUGCUCCUAGACCUUUGUUAUUUCUGCCGUUGGACAGUGUCUCAGGGGACAGUGCCCUGGGACCGAGAGGCGGGCACAGACGGAUGAUGGAAUGGACAUAGCCUUGAUCACCCUCGUCCAGCCCCGGCCCUGCCCAGCUCUCCUGGACACUUCAGACAGGCCUCAAGUCCUUCCACGGUGGCCCUUUCUUGGGUCAUUGGGCAAACAAAGAAAAAUAAUAAAUCAGGUGGGUGACCGAGCCUAGGGUAGCUGGUCUGCUGAAAGAGGUUUUUUCUUCCCAUUUUUGCUCUGUCUUGUUUUGUUUCAUGAACAUACCUGCUUGUCCAACUUUAGUCAACACAAGUGGCUGUGGAGUCGUUACCCCUUCGGUUUAAAACAUCCCCCAGCAGCUCCUGCGUUCAGAGGCGAGGCCCAGAGAGGUGACCGGGUUGGGAGGUGGCGGACGUCCUCAGCGGAUGAACCUGUGGACGGGAUCACAGCUGAGUCAGCACUGGGGGCCUCUGGGAGGAGGGGUCAUGGGUG